rnacentral:misc_RNA from 1 species
GAUGAAGAACGUAGCGAAAUGCGAUAAGUAAUGUGAAUUGCAGAAUUCAGUGAAUCAUCGAAUCUUUGAACGCACAUUGCGCCCCCUGGUAUUCCGGGGGGCAUGCCUGUUCGAGCGUCAUUUCACCACUCAAGCCUCGCUUGGUAUUGGGCGACGCGGUCCGCCGCGCGCCUCAAAUCGACCGGCUGGGUCUUUCGUCCCCUCAGCGUUGUGGAAACUAUUCGCUAAAGGGUGCCGCGGGAGGCCACGCCGUAAAACAACCCCAUUUCUAAGGUUGACCUCGGAUCAGGUAGGGAUACCCGCUGAACUUAAGCAUAUCAUAAGCGGAGGA